AAUGAACGUUGGCGGCGUGGAUUAGGCAUGCAAGUCGAGCGAGAACCCCGCAAGGGGGGACAGCGGCGAAAGGGACAGUAAUGUGUAGAUGAUCUGCCCUCAGGUCCGGGAUAGCUGCGGGAAACUGCAGGUAAUACCGGAUAACAUCUCCGGAUCAAAGGUGUGAUUCCGCCUGAGGAUGAGUCUGCAUCCUAUUAGCUAGUUGGUGGGGUAAUGGCCUACCAAGGCAUUGAUGGGUAGCAGGUGUGAGAGCACGACCUGCGUCAUUGGGACUGAGACACUGCCCAGACACCUACGGGUGCCUGCAGUCGAUAAUCUUCGGCAAUGGGGGCAAGCCUGACCGAGCGACGCCGCGUGUGGGAUGAAGGCCUUCGGGUUGUAAACCACUGUCAGAGGGGAUGAAAUGCAGGUGGGUUCUCCCAUCUGUUUAACAUAGCCUCAGAGGAAGGACGGGCUAAGUUCGUG
rnacentral:rRNA from 1 species